rnacentral:rRNA from 1 species
CUACGGGUUGCUGCAGUGGGGAAUAUUGCGCAAUGGGCGAAAGCCUGACGCAGCAAUGCCGCGUGAGUGAAGAAGGCUUUCGAGUCGUAAAGCUCUUUUAUCUGAGAAGAUAAUGACGGUAUCAGAUGAAUAAGCACCGGCUAACUACGUGCCAGCAGCCGCGGUAAUACGUAGGGUGCAAGCGUUGUUCGGAAUCACUGGGCGUAAAGGGCGUGUAGGCGGAAAAAUAAGUUAUCGGUGAAAUCCCGGGGCUCAACCCCGGAACUGCUGAUAAUACUGUUUUUCUAGAGUGAGCUAGAGGUUAGUGGAAUUCCUGGUGUAGAGGUGAAAUUCGUAGAUAUCAGGAGGAACACCGGCGGCGAAGGCGGCUAACUGGAGCUUUACUGACGCUGAGGCGCGAAAGCAUGGGGAGCAAACAGGAUUAGAUACCCGCGUAGUC